GACGAACGCUGGCGGCGUGCUUAACACAUGCAAGUCGAGCGGUAAGGCCCUUUCGGGGGUACACGAGCGGCGAACGGGUGAGUAACACGUGGGCGACCUGCCCUCAGCUCUGGGAUAAGCCCGGGAAACUGGGUCUAAUACCGGAUAUGACCUCUCAUCGCAUGGUGGGUGGUGGAAAGUUUUUUCGGCUGAGGAUGGGCCCGCGGCCUAUCAGCUUGUUGGUGGGGUGAUGGCCUACCAAGGCGACGACGGGUAGCCGGCCUGAGAGGGCGACCGGCCACACUGGGACUGAGACACGGCCCAGACUCCUACGGGAGGCAGCAGUGGGGAAUAUUGCGCAAUGGGCGGAAGCCUGACGCAGCGACGCCGCGUGGGGGAUGACGGCCUUCGGGUUGUAAACCUCUUUCGACCUUGACGAAGGCCUUCCGGGUUGACGGUAGGGGUAGAAGAAACAC
rnacentral:rRNA from 1 species